GCGCACGCAUGCGCAGUCUAUAAAACUGCUGACUGCAAAGCAAAUCGGCUAACGUGUUCGUUCCUCAUCGCUCACAGGUAGCGCUGAACUUUUCUCCUAGCUUCUGUCGCAAGAUAAAGGUGUAAAAGGUCAGAGGGAGACAUCUUUGUAAUAUCGUAUGAUGAAAUAUUGCGAAAUCUCGGGCAUUCGGUCGUUAUCCAGAAAGUGCACAAGUAUUUCAAGUACUUGUUGUUGGACAAUGAAUGCAAGGCAUUUUAUUGAAUGCCUGUUGGACCAGCUCACUCCAGUUUUCAGGCAGAUCUUCAUUUGAUCUCUGGAACUGUACAAAGUACCAUCCUGUUUUAAACGCACCACCAUUAUCCCGGUCCCCAAGAAACCUGCAAUCUCGGGUCUUAAUGACUACAGGCCUGUCGCCUUGACAUCAGUGGUCACGAAGUCCUUUGAACGCCUUGUCCUGGACCACCUCAAGAGCGUCACAGGUGCCAUGCUGGCCCCUCUGCAGUUUGCCUACUGACCAAAUGGAUCUGUGGAUGACGCAGUUGACGUGGGACUGCAUAUGUGAGGAUCCAGUUCUUGGACUUCAGGUCUGCGUUCAUCUUGUCCUAACUCCUCUCCAAGCUUCUCCGGCUCAGUGGCUCGCCUGCCAUCUGGCAGUGGACCUAAAACUUCCUGAUGGGCUGGGGGACACCACCUCAUCCGCACGCACCAUCAGCACCUUGAUAAGCACCGGGGCACCCCAAGGUUGUGUCCUCUCCCUGCUGCUCUUCUGUCUCUGCACUUCCAUGCACCUGGCUGUCAAGUUCCAGAACUUUGCAUAUGACACCAUAGUCAUUGGGCUCAUCAAGACCGUGACGAGUCUGCGUAUCUACAGGAAGUGGACCUGUGGUGCGGACAACAGAACCUGGAACUGAACGCACUCAAGACUGUAGACUGAAACCUUAAAGAGUUAAGCUACCUCAUCAUAUUAUAUCGUGAACUCAUUUUAAAUUAGUAGUCAAUAAUAAGAGUUGAACUGCGGCUCAGAUGAUUGAUGGAUGAAUCUGAAAUGAUAUAUCAUUUGAGUUUCAAUUGCAGAUUUAAGAAAAUUCUCAUGUUCACUUUCAAGUGUAUUGGAUUUCAGUUCCAAAGUAAUAAAUUCAAUUUCAAACGA